rnacentral:lncRNA from 1 species
ACCCUGCCCAGGCCCCGGGGAGAAGCCUGGUAUUCUUCGUGUUUAUUUAAUUGUCAACUCUCUGUGUUCUAAGACGAUACCCUGGCCUUGACUCAGUACAACCUAGGACUGUAAGUCCCAUCAUGUCUAUGGACUUCAGUUUCCAGACAUGAAACACAAGAGGCUUGGACGAGAUUAGAAAUCAAGAACUCGAAUGCGUAUGGUCAGAGCCACGAGAGUUUCCAUAAAGGAACACAACCAUGUGGACAACUUGAUUAUGCCCUACAAAACUGAAUUCCUGUGAGCAUUCCUCUUCAAGAUGGAAGAAAAAGGGAAUAUUUCACAACCCCAAUGGUGAAACGUCUGCCUAUAGCCAACAAUACAAUCUCCAUCCAUGUAUGAUGUGACUUGCUCCUACAUGCCUUCCACCAUGAUUAUGAGGCCUCCUGAGCCAUGUGGAACUGUAAGUC